rnacentral:rRNA from 1 species
UACGGGGGGAGCAAGCGUUGUUCGGAUUUACUGGGCGUAAAGGGCGCGUAGGCGGCGCAACAAGUCACUUGUGAAAUCUCCGGGCUUAACCCGGAGCGGCCAAGUGAUACUGUCGUGCUAGAGUGCGGAAGGGGCUACUGGAAUUCUCGGUGUAGCGGUGAAAUGCGUAGAGAUGUGGAGGAACACCAGUGGCGAAGGCGACUCUUUGGCCUGUAACUGACACUGAGGCGCGAAAGCGUAGGGAGCAAACAGG